CUAAAAAAUAUAUGUGGGGGUGCGUUAGCCAUGAAUGAAAUAGUUGUUGGUCAUAUACAUGUUUUAGUUUUUUUAUUUGGUGGGAUGUGUGCAAUUGACAGAAUACGUGUGGUGUGGUUGUCCAUGAAUGGAUUAGUUCAUUGUGUACUCGGGACAGGUGUCAGAAAAGAUAACAACAAAUAAUACCACUCUUGUGAAGAGUUGAUCACUGUGAGGUAGCUCUGUAGCGUAUAGAGUUUUCAUUAACAAAACCAUGAAGAAUAUCAGUGCAUCAAGGCUCUCAACCAAAAACGGAAGUUGCGACACAGAAAAGUUCGGUACAAACGGUUUAUUGAUGUUUUCUUUGGCAUGAAUCAGAUCGAUCCAUAGUGCACAUGUCUACUAAUUGGCCCGAUCUUACACGCCUGAACGUCUUGAGCACAAGAAUACUUUCUAUCUGUUACUUGUAUGGCGUUCAAACAUCGCAGCAGCAAAUGCCACCACCAUCCGGUACGCAGUGGGCUUUAUUGUGUCCAAAAAACUUGCAGUGAUUCAGGCACGCCUCUUCGGAUGCAUGAUCUCUGUGGCAGCUUACAAAAUGAAUACAGUAAUCGAUGAUGGGGAUUGGUUUUUUAUCUACACAUGUUGAAGUAUAGCAGUAUAAGCACGUAUGUACCAGCGUGAAUCGGAACGCACGUAUGUAUCAAAUUUGAACUAAAACCACGACGAGUAAAUCUGAACGGAGGGAGUACUAAAAUGAAUAGGAAAAUAGAUAAACAAACGGAUGUACCUGCGUGACAUGAUAAUAGAGUGGUAGACAUCAUCACCAGAGCUACCAAGCAUAGAGCUGUUGCUGUGUUCUUGAUAUGUGCCAUGAGAGAUGCUUUGUAUUUUAUUUUGUUCAAGACAGGUUGACCUUGUAGUUUAUAUAUAAUAUAAAAUCUCUUAGAUCCAUUCCUGCCUUUUACUAUUUCCCACAUUAAUUUUCUUUAUAUAUAUCUAAAGUUUGGUCAUGCCCGCAGAUAUCAGUAUUAUAACAGUUACAUGACAUGCAAAAUAUAUUUUCUCGGAUAACCUUUUAUUCAUUUCCUCCUAAAUUUUCAUUUUUAAUUAAUUGGUACCCUAGAAUACUUUUUAUAUCACAAAUAUGCGUCAGUAUUACGCAAUCUUGCUUCCAAUAUUCGGUCUAUAUACAUAUCUAAUUAAUUACUGCCAAUAUAGAAUAGCUUCCCCCCAUCCUAAAAUAUAUCUUUACAAAAUCUUUGUUGUUAAUGGUGGUUGAGAUUUUAAAUCUUUGAUUGAUACAUGUAUUACUGAAUAUGAAUAUGUUAAUGCGAGUGAUGUGUGUGGCCAACACUGCAUCAAACAAAUAAUCCAUUGUCCCUUAUAGAAGGCAACUAAUCCGGGACACACAGUGUGCAUAGUUGAUGCAUUUUAGAACCGUAAUGUUAUCUAUCAAACGUCAGUUGUAGGAGGAUGACAAGCAGACGAUUGUUUUGGCAAGUUUAGUUGGUAAGAGACAGCAAAUGCUGCUGUUUUUUGCCGCAAAACUUCUCUUCUCCCCAAAAGAUGCCUACCCCAUAGAAGUAAGCUUGCCAUCUAAAAUGUUUGCAAAUGCCAACCCCUCGCAAUGAACGUUUGCCAGCUAUUGCAGUCUAAAAGAUGAUGUGUCCAGAUCUGUAGUUUGAAGAGGCGUGAGCGUUUUGUAAAAUGUUGACAAUUUUAAAAACUGUACACGAUUUUGUUUACAAGAUUUUGACAAAUUUGAUGUAUUUUAGUUUUAUUUGAAAUAAACAAAUGUUUUCUUUUUAGGGGAAAGUGAAAACCUGUAAAAGCAUAUAAAAUCACUAGAAACACAUAGCGUCAUUUAGGAGCCCCCUUUGCUGAUCUGUUGCAAUAUAGCUCUUGAGUCGUCUUAUAACUCGCUCACUGCAAUUUUAUUGAUGGCAAAACGCGCAUGGAAAAGGCUUUCCUUCUUGAGCCACGUGGCUCAGAUGUCAGAUCGCUCCCAAUUUUCUUUCUCUUUUUUUAUCCAGAUUUCCGUCAGUUUAAACCAAAAAAUAGCUCUCUUGCUUAUGUCGUUAGAUUUUAAAAAUAUCUAACAGUGACAUAAAAGUACAGGAUUUUACAUGAAUAAUAAAACUGUUUGUGAAUUUUCAAAAAUGAUCUUGAAUUAACAAAAUGUUCAUAGGUGUAAACAGAUGUUCUUCUUUAUAAAAAUGCUUAGGAAUUCAUAAAAUUGUGGAAUUUAUACAAAUACGAAAUUCAAUAAUGUUCUAUAAUCUUCAAAAAAUGUUGGUGUUUUUAAAAAACACGUAUUUCAAAAAUAAUUGUAGUUUGAAAAGGAUUAUGUAUUUCAUAAUAUAUUCUUGAAUUUCAAAAUUGUACAUAAUUUUAAUAAAUGUUCAUGAAGUUGAAAUUUAUAAAUAAAAAUAAAAAGGAUAGAGAAAAAUCUGAUGGAAAUCCUCGAAAACCACAAGAACAUGGGGCGUGAUGUGCACUCUACCUAUGCAUUAAUCGAACACUUUUUCGCAAUGAGCGACAACUACAUUUUACAAUGGCUUGCUACACGCAUGAGCUGCUGCUCCCAUGUCCUAUUCGUUUGCCCCAUGCGAGUGCAUCCCCCAAUGGCCGCAACCUCUUCUACACCACCGCUUAGGGUUGAAGUUGUUGCCGUCCUCCCCCCGCUUCCUGGACGGUUCGCCUCCGCUUGAGCAUGGCUGCAGCGUCCCGCCCAAUUGGCCUUGACAAUGCUCCUCGGCCUCAGCUAAAGCCACUGGCCUGUUCCACUGAUGUUUAGAAUUGUUGCUCAUGCAUCUGCUUGCCACUUUGCCGACAAUGCUACUCGCCGACCCGUGCGACUCUAGCAUGUUGGCUACUUGUCGCGUGCCUCUUGGACCAGAUAGUUUCUAAAUCGAUGCAUUGAAGUUAAACUAGAUAGUUGACCUUUUAAGUUUGGGAGCACUUGGUCAGGCAGCUAAAAACUGGUUUUGUUUCAGUUGAUUUGCUCUCCCUCUUUCAACUGUCUUAUUUAAAUCCAAAACCUCAUGUUUUUCAUCCUCCUGCCAUCAAAGCGACAGUGUUCUUUUUGAUGGAAAUAUGCCCUAGAGGCAAUAAUAAAAUGGUUAUUAUUAUAUUUCCUUAAUCAUGAUAAAGGUUUAUUAUUCAUGCUAGAAUUGUAUUAAUCAGAAACUUAAAUACAUGUGUGGAUACAUAAACAAAUACCAUGUCUCUAGUGAGCCUCUACUAGACUAGCUUGUUGAUCAAAAGAUGGUUAAGGUUGCCUAACCAUAGACAUGUGUUGUCACUUGAUAACGGAAUCACAUCAUUAGGAGAAUGAUGUGAUGGACAAGACCCAUCUGUUAGCUUAGCAUAUGAUCGUUCAGUUUAUUGCUACUGCUUUCUUAAUGCCAAAUACAUGUUUCUUCAACUAUGAGAUCAUGCAACUCCCGUAUAUCGGAGGAAUACCUUGUGUGCUAUCAAACGUCACAACGUAACUGGGUGAUCAUAAAGAUGCUCUACAGGUAUCUCCGAAGGUGUCUGUGGAGUUGGCGUGAAUCGAGAUUGGGAUUUGUUACUCCGUAUGAAGGAGAGGUAUCUCUGGGCCCUCUCGGUAAUACACAUCACAAGAAGCUUGCAAGCAAAAUGACUAAGGAGUUAGUUACGAGAUGAUGUAUUACGAAACGAGUAAAGAGACUUGUCGGUAUGAACUAGGUAUGGAGAUAUCAACGAUCGAAUCUCGGGCAAGUAACGUACCGACAGACAAAGGGAAUUACGUAUGUUGUCAUAACGGUUCGACCGAUAAAUAUCUUUGUAGAAUAUGUAGGAACCAAUAUGGGCAUCCAGGUUCCGCUAUUGGUUAUUGACCGGAGAGGUGUCUCGGUCAUGCCUACAUAGUUCUCGAACCCGUAGGGUCCACACGUUUAACGUUCGUUGAUGAUAUAGUGUUAUAUGAGUUAUAUUAUUUGGUGACGGAAUGUUGUUCGGAGUCCCGGAUUAGGUCACGGACAUGACGAGGAGCUCCGGAAUGGCCCGGAGGUAAAGAUCGAUAUAUAGGGCGAUGAUAUUUGGACACCGGAAGAGUUUUGGGAGGUACCGGGUAGUCAUCGGAUCACCGAAAGGGGUUCCGGGAAGCCCCGAGAGGCUAUAUGGCUUAAUGGGCCAAAGGAGGAACACACCAGCCCACAAGGGGCUGGUGCGCCCCUCUCCCUGGCCGCCGGCCCUAGGGGAAGGAAAGGGGGAUGGUUGGCCCCUCCUGCCUUUCCCUCCUCAUGAGAGAAAGAAAAGGGCGGGGGGGGGGGGCACCUCCCCCUGCCUUCCUCCCGCGCACAUACAAGGAAAGGGGGCGGCCAAGGGCAGGAGCCCAAGAGGGAUUCGGCCACCCUUGGGGCACCUCCUGGCUGCCUCCCCUCUCCCCCACCUAUAUAUAUGUGGGAGGGGGCACCACACAAGGACCACGAUAAUCUCUUAGCCGUGUGCGGCGCCCCUCUCCACAGUUUUGUCCAUCGGUCAUAUUUUCAUAGUGCUUAGGUGAAGCCUUGCGGAGAUAGCAUCAUCACCACCAUCACCACGCCGUCGUGCUGCCGGAACUUAUCCAUUACUUCGCCUGUCUUGCUGGAUCAAGAAGGCGAGGACCUCACCGAGCUGAACAUGUGCUGAACACGGAGGUGUCGUACGUUCGGUACUUGAUCGGUUGGAUCGCGAAGAAGUUCGACUAUAUCAAUUGCGUUAAUAAACGCUUCCGCGGUCUACGAGGGUACAUAGACACACUCUCCCCUCUCGUUGCUAUGCAUCUCCAUGGAUAGAUCUUGCGUGUGCGUAUAAUAUUUCUUGUUUUUCAUGCAACGUUCCCCAACACUUCUUCCUCACCAAACAUGUGAUUUCUCUCCCUCCUAUCCUUAGCCGAUUUGCCUGCCUCACAUUCGUUGAGUACCCGUCUGAGCAAUUACCAAGGACUUACUUCUUGUUGCAUUGCUUCAAGAGAUCUUGGAUGAUAGGUCCAUAGUCCGAGAUUUGCACACCACUCGGUGGCGCAUGGUUGACUUGAUCAGUAUAACCGGGCCAUCGGUUGCAUUGGUCUUGCAUGGUACCCAAAAUGGUUACCAAGAGAGCCUUGGAUGUGGCGUUAUGUGACUUCCAUUAUGUUGUUGUAGUACUCUGCAAUUCUACCCGCAAGUCGGUCCUUUGAUUGAUCUGUUCCAACUGAUGCAUCAACUGACAGGUUCGUCCAAGCGUUACACAAUGCAAUAUAUUAAUCUUGGCAAUACUUGUGAGUCCUAGAUCUUGAUGGUUCCCUCGCGCUUGUUGUGACUCCAUAGAACCAUCAACAACUUCCGGAACCUCCUUGGCGUCGGCCUCCACUUUUGGCUCAUAAUCCUCCUCGGGGUCUUCUUGUUGAUCAGACACCGAGUUAUAGUUGAGAUCUUCAAGCCCAAGCAUAUGUGACUCCUCCAAAGAUGACCAAAGUUUGUUUGUGUUCAUCUCCGCACUAUGACAACAAGCACAUCACCCUAGGGCCGCAAUAAAUCACCAUACAAUGCACCGAUCGAUAUGAAAAUACAUUUAUUUACCUCUUGAUGGAAUUUGUUUGACCACUUGGCGGCCACGACCCUUGGUGAUGGCAGUGGUGGCCGGACGAGCAACCGUAAGGGUGGCCGAAGAUGGGGUACGAGGCACCAGAGGCAUCUUAUUCUUAUUAUCAUCGCCAUAUCCUCGGUGAGCGCUGAUGCGGGUCUCAUCGACCUCCUUGCCCGCUUGUCAGAGGCUGGAGCAGCGGGAGGGCUGCCUCACGUCUUCAGAGAAGCAGUGGUCUUUCCACCGACCUUGCUACCGGCGAUGCUUGCCUGUGUGGUGGCAUGUGUGGGUUUUAAGUGCCUAGCUUCUUCCUUGUUGUGGGCAGCGGCACACGGCUCAUUUCCUGAUGCGUCGUGCUGGCGGUGGUGGCUGGCAAGGUGGUGGAAGGGUCUUACAUGUCCAUCAUUUUGUCCUCGGGUAGGUAGCCGCGUCCGGCCUGCUUGCCGAUGGCGUCUGCACUUCACUCGCGGGUCUUCCUCACAUGCCUCUGCAACUUGACAUGAAAAUAUUUCUGCCACAUGCCAAAGUGGGACUCGACAUAGAGAAAAGCCUCACCCAAGGUGAUGAAGCAGGACGGUGAAGUAGCAGGACAACGACACAUCACAAAAGCGGUGGAGCUGUUGUUGUGCCAGGAAGAAGAUGAGAACAAGGGAAACAAUAGCAUGAGCUCCCCCUCGCUCCAUCCAUUCCCUUGUAUACGAGGGUGGAAAUGUGAAACGGCGACAGGCAAUCAACGCCACACGGUGGUAAAUCUCUUCGUAUCCCCACGAUGGCGCUAAGUGCACGUGGGCAUUGAGGUGACUCUGUUAAGUGCGUGCGAGAAUCAGGCACGCUUCCUCUGUUGAUGCAUGGGACGUGGCGUGGGUGGGACCUAUACCCACUCCCGCACGUUACAUUGACCGCUAGGUCAAGUCUGACACAUGGUCCGGUGGGACCAACUGAUGAGACAGGUCUGCUCUAACAGGACUGUACAGUUUGAACCAUAAAGACGCUAUGCGGGAAUUCAACCCAUGAGGAGCUGACUGCGCGGGAAACAUUUUCGGCACAGGUAGGCUAUAUUCAUUAAUGGCUUAAGACUGAGGUUAAUUACGCUACCCCAGAGGCGGUCUGGCAGUUUGAGACCUAUUGCGUGAAGAUGUUGUUAAUUAGGGAGGCUUGGAAGAACAAGUUUUAACCUCGGCGACCUAAAGACAAUGUGCAACUUGCUGUUGGCAAGCUUGAACACCAAAUUUUGGGGCUACUGAUGGUGUCACGGCCCAGGGGUACCUCACCAUGUCAGUUCUCGGCCUGGUGGACCCCUAGGUCGGUUUCAUCCUGGCUCACUUUGGGCAGCCCGUGACAUUUAUAUGGAAGACUCCAGACGACUUAAUGUACAAGACAAGUGUACGUGAGCUGAGGAGGAGUCUACCUCCACCGAUCUAGUCGACUAGGAUCUGUAAGCCUAGGACCCCUGGUAUGUUGUAUAAGCUGGGGUCGGGCUCGUCGAGAGAUCAUCAGGUAGGUUCCCCUUUGGUAUAUCAUAUCUAAAGCUAACUUGAUUGAUUUACAACGAUCCUUUUUUGCAUGAGUAUAGGGAUUCAUUUAACCAUGGGGCUCGUAGCUUUCCCAAGGUGGCCACACGAUAUUGGUUCGAUAUCAUGUAUGGCCUCUCUAGCCAGCAUCUUUGCUUGUAUCCUGAACAAUCCUAGAUCUAUAAAGAAAAUCAUGGGUGUAGAAUAAUCCCACACCUGGCAGAUCAAGAUUGGUCGAACAUGAUCCUUAUUUAUAGGAGACAUCUAUUUCUCAAUUGACUAAAAUUUAACGCAAAACUGAUUUAUAAAUUUCUGUAUGAAUCUAAGCAAAAUUUUACCAUGUUGUAAAAAAUGUGUUCAUCUAGUGCAAAGCAGAUGUAGUUUUAACUAAGGCUCCACUGAAUUUACAAGUUUCUUCAUACUGAUUUAAAAGUACUGAGAGUGAUAUAAUAGUUCAUUCAGGCGGAAAUCCAAUUUGGCUCUCGGGUGCACAUGCUCUUGCGCGCGAAAAUAAUUUGGAAAUGUCAAAACAAAUCCAACAAAAAAUUUAUGUGUUCAUAGUCACAUCCAAAUGCUACUUACAAACUCUUAGGCAAAAACUUUAAGCAUUUUGGCCAGUGAAAGAAAUAAAAUUAAAUACCAAAUAUUAAUAACAAAUGUCACCUAAAAUUUGUUUUUUUUUCACCGACGAAACACUGCCGCUCCGUUCCACAUGAAAAUUGUCAAGGAUGACACUAACACGAACAUUUUCAAAAAGAAACUCAUAUUUUUUUUAAUGUUUACAAUUUUUUUAUGGUUACUGUUCAUGCAGGAGGAUGUGCUCCCAGGAGCCAAAACGCCUCCCCCGUUGUUCAGGUUAGUUAAAAAAUGCAGUAUUACUCUCAGAGUUGUUGGUUUGAUGGUUAUGUCUAUUGAGCGCUAAGAAAUUAUACGACAAUUGAGAAUUAGGAAAACCACUUUUCAUAUCACAGAAACUUAAAUCGAGAUUUCUAUAAGUUUAUUGAGUUGUGUAGUCCAGCCAAAAUCAGUUUGUAUAAUUUAUUAUAAUUUUCCAUAUCUUAGUAGCACAAGGGUUUGGCACAUGAAAGUACAUUGUAUCCAUCAUUUCCAUAGCAUUCACCAUUCGCAACAGCACCAUAUGGAACGGUCGCAAUGACUUUUUUCAAAGUUGUAACCACGCCAUUCACAGCUAAGCUUGCACAUAGCAACAUUGUUGGGCGUUGGUAUCUGGCAUGCUCGGAAAGGAGUACACGAAGUCCACAAUCCAGUUGUACCUACAAACAACAAGGUAUAUAUAGCAUCCCCGUUCAUAUUAGCAUAUGUAGUAUAAGUUGCAUGAGUUUAGAUUAUAUGAAUAUCCAAGGUACAUCAUACAUAAUUGGACUAUUGUAAACAUAAACAAAGAGUGUACCUCUGUUUAUCGUAGUUGCUUGACAUGACCAUAAAGUGCUAGACAUCAUCAGAAGAACUACGAAACAUAUAGCCUAUGUGUUGUUCUUGAUAGGUGCCAUGAGGAGUGGUUUCUUAUUCCUUUUUCCUCCUAUACCUGUAUUCUUUAUGGGCGAUAUCUCUCAACCUAUAUUUCUUAUUGUGUUAUUUAUUAGAGGCAUAAAUCUCGAAGGACCCAUUCUUGCUCUUAUAUUAUUUCUCACAUUUAUGUUUUGAUCAUCAUGUGUUUAUAUAUAGUCACUUGAUGUCCGCAAGGUCACUAUAGCAUUUAGAUAUGAUAUAUCAAAAUAUAUCUUGUGGAGAACAUGUUACUAAAUGCAACCUAGAUUUUGAUAUUUGAAAUUAAUCACUACUCUGAAAUACCAUACAUAUAGCACAUUAAGUUGUGCCCCCGCAAAAAAAGCAUAUUAAAUAUGUAUCUUCAGUAGUAGUUGUUCUAUCAUGUAGCAUAGUAGACCCAUGUAAGAAAAACAUAUCGGAUAAUAAUCACAACAUUAUUUCUUUAGGAUUCCACAACAUUAAACCAUUAUAUUAUGUCUUUAGCACUCAAUGUAACAAGCAGAAAAGGCCACCCGAAAUAGUUAGAAAUAAGCCUGUAGAUAACCUCUACUACCGGGUUUUGCAUGCACGCAGUUUGCAAAAGGGACACGAAAGAAAGUUGACCCCUUUUUCUUUGAGCAAAAAAACCCUUGUCUUGUGGGCAGAGAUAGGCCCAGAUACACAAGGCCGCAACACGGGGCUUGAUUAUAUUUACGACAGAUAUGUUCACUAGCCCACCAACUUGCCUUUCCUUCGCUUCGAGGUUUUCUUAGUGGAAUUCCCUAUUUGCCGCUCAUUACGUCGAACUGUCGAUGCAAAGCACAGAGCUGGGGAUUGAAGCGCUCACAUGGGCCGGCCCGUUAAUCAAUUGGGUCACUUUCUGGUUUUGGGAACCUUCUAGAGUUUCCUAGCCGAGUUUUUCUGGUUUUGGGAAACUUCUAGAAGGUUCCUUGAACCGUAUUUCUUUUUGUCGAUAUUUCUGUUUCUUUUUUUUUUCUUUUUUUAUUUCUUUUCAUUUCCUUUUCUAUUUCUUUUUUUUCAUUUCCUUUAUAUUUCAAGUCCAUUUUUUUAAAACAAAUCAGGUUUCAAAUUUUGUUCAGAAACUGAAAAAAAAUCGUACUUUUACAGUAUUUUCAAUUUUGUAAAAAAUUUCGUGCUUUCAAAAAUUGUUCAUAAAUUCAAAUAAUGUUCGCAUUUUCAAAAAAUUGUACGGGCAUUUCAAAAAGUGUUCCCAUUUUCCAUAAAUUGUUCAGAAUAUUUUUUUUAUUUUUUGUAACUUUUCAAAUAAUGACUGGGAUUUAAAAAAUGUUUAUGUUUUAAAAAAUUGUUCUUGUUUCCAAAUUUUGCUGACAUAUUCAAAAAUGUUCAUGUUCCAAAUUUGAUUGGAAUUUUUAAAAUUGUUCUCUGUUUCUAACUUUGGUCUAAAAAUGUUCUUGUUUCCAUUUCUGUUUCUUUCUUUGUUUCUUUUUAAUUUUUAUGUUUUUUUCGAAAAAAUUUCAUUUUUCAAAAAUUGUUCGUAACCUUUAAAAAGUUGUUCCCACUUUUAAAAAACGUUCAUUUUUUUAAAAAUGUUCGUGUUUUCCAAAUUUGUUCAUAAAUUCAAAAAAUGUUUGCAUUUUAAACAAAAUGUUUUGGAAUUUAAAAAAUGUUGCCUUUUAAAAAAAGGUUUGUCUUUGCAAAUGGCAACCCCUCGCAAUGAACGUUCGCCAGCUAUUGCAGUCUAAAAGAUGAUGUGUCCAGAUCUGUAGUCUGAAGAGGUGUGAGCGUUUUGUAAAAUAUUGACAAUUUUAAAAACUGCACACGAUUUUGUUUACAAGAUUUUGACAAAUUUGAUGUAUUUUAGUUUUAUUUGAAAUAAACAAAUAUUUUCCUUUUAGGGGAAAGUGAAAACCUGUAAAAGCAUAUAAAAUCACUAGAAACACAUAGCGUCAUUUAGGAGCUCCCUUUGCUGAUCUGUUGCAAUAUAGAUCUUGAGUCAUCUUAUAACUCACUCACUGCAAUGUUAUUGAUGGCAAAACGCACAUGGAAAAAGGAUUUCCUUCUUGAGCCACGUGGCUCAGAUCGCUCCCAAUUUUCUUUCUCUUUUUUUAUCCAGAUUUCCGUCAGUUUAAACCAAAAAAUAGCUCUCUUGCUUAUGUAGUUAAAUUCAAAAAAUAUCAAACAGUGAUAUAAAAGUACAUGAUUUUACAUGAAUAAUUAAACUGUUUGUGAAUUUUCAAAAAUGAUCUUGAAUUAACAAAAUGUUCAUAGGUGUAAACAUAUGUUCUUCUUUAUAAAAAUGCUUAGGAAUUUAUAAAAUUGUGGAAUUUAUAAAAAUACGAAAUUCAAUAAUGUUCUAUAAUCUUCAAAAAAUGUUGGUGUUUUUAAAAAACACGUAUUUCAACAAUAAUUGUAGUUUGAAAAGGAUUAUGUAUUUCAUAAUAUAUUCUUUAAUUUCAAAAUUGUACAUAAUUUUAAUAAAUGUUCAUGAAGUUGAAAUUCAUAAAUAAAAAUAAAAAGUAUAGAGAAAAAUCAGAUGGAAAUCCUAGAAAACCACAAGAACAUGGGGCGUGAUGUGCACUCUACCUAUGCAUUAAUCGAAUACUUUUUUGCAAUGAGCGACAACUACAUUUUACAAUGGCUUGCUACACGCAUGAGCUGUUGCUCCCAUGUCCUAGUAGAUCGGGAUCGCGCCUUGACGCGAGGGUGCCGGUCCCAAUGUUUUGCCGAAGCACUAUUUUAGUAUAAACCCAGGUAUAGUAUUUGCACUUAUAUAGAAUAAUAAAGCAAAUUUAGAUAGAAGUAAAACAAAAUGAAUCUCAAUACCGACAUGAGAUUAUAAGGCAGGAUCAAACUAAGUGUGUUCAUAAGACCAUAAAAGAUGGCCACUCAACAUAAAAUUCGAUACCAAAAGCGAGAAUACAUAAAAGGUAAUAAGAACAAGAAGAUAAUAAAGGAGAGCCAAUUGUGGAGCCAUAACCACUAAGCAUACGGGAGGAGCUCCAUUGUGUUAGCCACCUCAGUCUUGCGAUGCUUGGCAUCCUGUAGCCACCUCUUUCUUCAGAUUUUGGAGCCUCUUAGAAUAUAUAAAUGGUAUAGGUGCCCUGUCAAGGAAAAAAAAUAGAUAAAUACAGAUUGUGUGUCUUAUUUUUAUUGUGGUGUCAAUCGAGGAAAAAGGAUGAUGCACGACUACAGAACACCAAACUACAAUCCGAUGAUCAACCAACUAUACAAAUCAUAGAGGGAUCUCCUGGGCACUAAGCCCUUAUAAAAGGGUUUCAAGGUAUCCACUUUAUCACCAGCCUACAAAUAAAAUAUAUAAGGUGGGGGCAAGGGAAGGACUAAAAUAAAAAGAAGUACUCGCUUGGUAAUGCAUACUGGAAAGACAUGUUGCUGGUAAGGAUCUCCUCUACUCAGGAAAAAUAAAAAGAUAGGAGGCGCGUGGUGCCUGCCUCAACAUAUUGUCCAUGUGCUUAAACAAAGCAUUUAGUGUUGUCAAAUGGGAAUUAGAACGAUUGCUUGGGAUGAAUCAGCCCUUGCCAAAUGGAAACUAAAAUAAUUGUGCAGGAUAGAUCAACCCAAUACAGUAAGUUUAGAUCAAUAGCAAUACAGAAGGGUGAGACAGCCUGUUAUACCAAAAGUAAGGCAAGCCAGAAGUUCAUGACAAAGGGGAGACAUAUAUUUGGUGGCAAAAGUAAGCCAAAAUGAUGGGUUCUUGUUAAGUAGAUAAAAUAGUUGGGUUAUUAGAUAGCGAAAGCAAGCCAGAGUAGCGAAUAAGAUUCCUAUAUAGUUUUAACAAUCCUAUGUAGUUCUGCUAUAAUUAAAGAACCAGUGAUGCAUCAAUAUAACUAAUAUACAGUAGUUAACAUGAAGAAUGCCGAGCAGUGCCCUUUUACAAAAGGAGAGGACAAUCAGAUGUUCGCAUAACACAUCACAGCAGCUAGUGGUAUGACACAUCGUUUGGAAGUUAUUGGGGCCAAAGCCAACCAUAUAGCUAAGAGAAAAAGCGCCUGCACAUGAAGCAUUGUCACUAACCCUGAAUGAAGGGUUCUACUUUCAAGUGUUUGUGAAGAACAUGGUGUAUAAGUCACAGCCCAGGAUCACCGCGACACUUUAAUCUCAACAUCAAUACACUUCCAAUACCACUAAGGGAAAAUAGAGUUAAAAUUCAUGUGAGAACAAAAUAGAAACAACUGUGGUCAAAAUGCAUAAUCCUUGCUCAAAUCAAAUUGAUAAUCACCAGAUGGUAUAUAUUUUGGCUCCCUCCCAGAUCAAAUUAAUUUACACUUAUGGAGGAUUGUUAUUAACAAAGUAACCGACAAAGAAGUGAUCGCCAGUUGCACUGUCUACUUAUGUCUUUAUGAAUGCAAAUGCAAGUGGAAGCUACCAAGGUUCGGUAAAUAGGGAUUGACCAGUAGCUUUUUUCCGAACUGGAAGGAACAAAGUCUCACUUCUAGCCAAACCGAGUGGAGAGCACAUCCUAUCAUUCUUUUGAUCUCUAGAUUUCAUCCAAUUGAGAUUUUCAUUCCGUCAUUUCAAGGAAAUGGUGUACACCAAUUUAAGAAGUUUAGGAGUAUGUCCUAAAAGAAGUUUCAGGUGUGCAUAUCGUUACAAGCUUGAAAUACUGACAUAAAAGCUUGAAAUAUGAGAUUGUGCAUGUAGAAAUAAAUAAGAAAUUAUAUGUCAAACAAAUUUAUGUUUUCUGCCAUUCCAGAAAUUCUAAUUUCUUAAUGAGCCGACUUGCAUACGUCUCUCUCCGAAGGAAAGACCAUUUCUAAUUACAGAAAAGGGAUAUGUACAAUGGUAGACAUAUGUGUUGGUCGAUAAUACCUCAAAUGGCGCACCACUAAGAUUUUCCAUUACCAGCUUCUUAUGGAUCAGUGAUACAGAGCUCUCUGCUUGUGCCUGGCUUGGCAGCUUCCUCUAGACCAGCAAUAAAAUUAAUAGAUUAAGAGAGUACCUCAGCAAACUCAAGAUUAAUUUAUACUCCAUAAACUAAUAUAAGUUCAGGGAGGUAGUACCUAAACAGAUCCAUAAAAUCUUUUAUUCUUUCCAGAAAAUGUAGAAUUAUCCAACAUGUAAGGGGUGAACCACCAUCACGACACCAGCAUCUAGAAUAAGUUGAUUUGCAGAAGCAUUGCCACUAAGAAUAAUGCAUAACAAUGAUUUUUUUUCCCUACAUAUAAGGGGAGGCCUCAAACUUAAUCCUUUACUUCCAUAGCACAUCAUACAAUGCCCCCUUAAAAGAGUUCUUCGAAAUAGCAUGCAAGCUCCAUAUCGAAUGGGGAGCAACGGAGGAGGCCACCCGCGACCAUGGCGUCCGACCAAGGCAUCGUUGUUCCGUCCAGCUCGGCCAUGUGCGGGGCGUGACAUCAUUGUGUAGGUACCGGUGGUCGUCCUCAUCCAUGGAGGAUUCCUGCUGCUCCGAUUCAAAGAAACAAGUAAGGGGAUCAAUCAAUCCAUGGAGAGAAGGAAGACAAGGAGACACGCACGUACACAUACUGCUGCUAGUAUAUAAAGAAAUCAACCAAGCCGUAUGUGUGUGUGCUUGAGUACGUGUGUGGUUGGGCUCCUGGAGUACACGAGCUAGUGUUCUAAUUAAACUGAAAUAGAGCAUGCCAUAGGAGAGCAACCUAGAGCACAGAGCAUGCCACAAGAAAGCAACCUAGAGCAGAGCAACUAUAACUUGGAAAAAUCUCACAACCGAGAGAGAGGGAUGGACCUAGUUUGUCAAUCUACCAUGCAUCGUUACUCUAUAAUUUAUAGAGCUGGCAGCCUAACAUGCUACUGCCAUCAGCGGUAACCAAUGAAAUUAGAAAAGCACCGAAACUACUAAUUCUAACCAAAGAAGUUUGAGGAACAUAUUUCUCUUUGUUUUACAAUCUGAAAACGGCUAUUCUGGAGUGUGCAGUGGUCACUCAAAAUAAAGAAUACAUAUACCUGACCUGCGAAAAACAACUGGCACAACGCAAUGGUCCUUAAUCGGUUAUCCAUAAUAUAGACAAACAAAUAUGAAUCAGGAACCAAGCAGUUUAAUUGGUUGCAAAUUAAAGGACCCUUAGAAUCCGCUUUUAGAUGGCAAACAAUAAACUAUGGCAAUAAAAAAUCAGUAGCCAAAACCCAUAGGACGGAUAAUAGCAUCAGUCAUUCCUUCAACCAAAGCAUCAUAUAUCAUCGAUCUACAUUAUAAGGAGAACUAUGUAUGAGAAUGUGAACCAGAGUUAUACCCCUUGCAUCAUGUAAUUCUUUGGAGUUAGACUCUUUCAAAAUAUUAUCACACAGGGUGCCCAAAAAUAUAUAUUACCACAAUACAUCUAUUCAUCCAUUAAUAAUGAAAAUACUAAUACAUAACUUCCACCUAGAGUAGCAUGGAAUUGCACAAAUAAUACAUAGCAAGAGAUUCAUUAUUUCAAUGCAUGAUAAGUUACGAAAUAGAUCAUCUAAACAAACAAAAUAAUGUUUGUUUGUGCCACUUAUUAUUACUGUUAUCGUGGUACCCACAAUAAGGUGGAAAUGUUAGCUUAUUCAAGGGGGGCCUACAAACUUCGAUCCCAUGAUGGCUAAAAUGGUUUUGGAUCAAUGAAGCUUACAACUGGUAAAUCAGGUGAGCUAGUAAGUAUGGCAAACGAAAAUCAAAGUAGAAUGAUCCCAAAAUGUCUUUUGUUACACUAUUACAAAGCAAGUUAACCGAUCUUAGAUCUUGUGACCAUGAAUCCAAACCUCUACUGAUUACUCUUAAAUUCAUAUCAAAGUGAAGAGAGCUAAUUAUUUAUGUGUGGCGCAUUCAGAGAAUUGAUGUGGCUAUUCAUAAAAUCAAAAUUAAGAUCCAUUCUCUCUAGAAGUAACUAAAAUGAAAGAGGAACAGAGAAUAAUAUCUUGUGCCAGAUUGGGAUUAAUGCACUGAUGAGAGACUCGAACAAUGAAACACAUGCAAAAAUGUUCUCUUGAUGCCCAUUUACUCCUAGGAGUACUACUGAACCUAACUGAAUUUAGGAGUAUUUACAAAACCUAGUAGUACUACUGAACCUAAUCGAACCCAAGUGCAUGUGUGGUGUACUAAAUGUAGGAGCUGCGUGUUUGUACUCCAUGGAUGCAAAUCAAAGGAGUUGGAGCCGUGUGUUUGUACUCCAUAGACGUAUUAUAAACUUUGUAGUCCAUGGGAAAUGAACAUAGCUGCAAAUUAAGAAAAACAAAGCAGUCGAGGAGAGAACGAGCUCACCUAUGAGGUUGCAGCCGAGGCAGUAGCACAGCUCGUCGCUGCAACUGAGCUCGACACGCUACCUCCAUGUGUCCGGCCUUUUCCGCGAGUUGCCCCAUGCGUCCAGCCUCCUCCGAGCACUGUCUCCUCACAAACAAGUAGGGGUAGAAAAAACAUGAAUUGUAACUUAUCAACCGAGCGGCAGCAACAAUCAGCGACAUAUCACCGAUCAACAACAGGACACUAACCGAAAAACGCAGCCAAUAGCAAAAUCAGGAGCAGGAUAAAACUAAUAAUAUAAUGAAAAGAAUGCCCACAAGAGAAGCAUGCACAAUCCUAUGAAAUCAGAAUCAAUUAGUUCACCUACUGACACCCAUCUACCAGGAUCAAACAAGGCGUCCAGGAUCAAACAAACAAAGCAAGGAAAGAUACAGCCCCUUCCUUGCAAUCUAGCUAGACCGCUAAUGUAACAACAAAGUUUCUAGAAGAAUCUAACAGCAAUCAUAUAUAAAAAAAGCGCAAGUAAAUAUGGUCAUGCAUAUUUUGAAGCCACCAAAGCUGUCCUUAUGUCGAAAAUUGAAAUAAACGAUGGUACAAAGAGGAGAAAUAAUGAAAAUAACAUGAAGGAGUCAGAACCCAGAAAUCAUAUGUAACUAAACUAUGAGAAACCAUGUAUAUUACCUCAAGAAUCUAUAUAGACCUAAGCUUCUCUUUAACAGGCAGAAAACCAAGCAAUAAAACAGAUAGCCUAGCUAAAUCCAAGGACCUACUUGACGGCAAGGCACCAACAAAACAAGAAAGCCCCCCAAAAGUCCUCCUCUGGAACCUAGCUACCUAAGAAUCUGCUGCACAAGAAGAAACCCAAGGCAUUUUUGCUAGCCAGUCCUACAAAAUGGUACAUGAACAUAAGAGGGGAAGGAGCUCAACCAGCAGGAGCAUGACCAGUGCGGCCACACGCGGCAGAGGUGAAGCAUAGAUCGCUCGGAAUCGCGUGUGUAAGGAAGAACCCAACAACACGGUACAUGCGAGUAGCACCAGCAAACAAAUCAGUAGGUUACUUCUAGGACAUAGCACCUCGAUCACUCUUUACAUGAACAAUCCAGCAUUAUCUACUAAAAAACUAUCAACAAAAAUCUUGUAGCAUUAUUAUUUGUAGCAUGUAAGAACAAAUAGCUGCAAAUGGUAACUUGCGAAAAAAUAGAAGUAGUAGUGUCACAGCAAAUUAAAACAAGCCAUUCAACCAUUGCGGGGAGCGGGUCAAAGUGCGACUUACUCUUAUAACCAGAUUAAAUCAAGGACCAACAACAAUAUAGAUACAACAAAGUGCGACUGUACAUAUUCUACAAAACACACCACUGCACCAUGUAGAUACAACACAUAUCAAUUAGAAGGGGCAACUUGUGCCCUGUUUAUGAGAGAAAGAAAUCAAAUAAUAUUUGUAACAGUAGAUUGAGAUAUGAUGAGAAUACCUAAUCAGUAAAGCAUCACUACCCAACCAUAAGCAUAAAGGAAGUAAUAUGAGCUGAAAUCUCUGAUGGCAUAAAAAAUUAGAGCAUGUCUGACAUAACAUUUUGAAGUUACAAAUGGUAAAUAAACUACAACCAAGAAACAGAACAUUAAGUAGCUAGAGAGUAUACACUACUUUCUAAUAGGAAAGAAUGUAAUUUAAUCGGUAAGGUACUGUCACUGUCUCCAACAUGAAAAAACGAAGAAACCUUUUGUAAUCAGUAUCUACCAUGCUCAUGUUUCUUCUGUAUUCAGUACAGUAGCUGCAACCAUGCGCAUAUCACCGAGCAGGAAAAAGAGAGAAGGUUACGGCUUACUUAACAUUUGCCAAUUGAUGCUGCCUGCACCCAUACUUUAUGAAUCUGCUGCUUCUAAUUCUGUUACAACCUGCCACUCCUCAUUAUAUGUUGCCCCAUCAUUUUCCUGCAACGCAUCUAUAUAACAAAAAGCACCACAUCAAGUGAGGUACGAAAAUAGCAGAUAGCAAAGCAACAUGAGAAUAGUAGUCAAGUAUAUUGGCAUACCUUUAAUUCUCAAAUAGUUGAUUGGUUCAUGACGAUGGUUCGAGGAGAAAGCUGCAAUUGAAAAAAUAAAGAUAUUCUUACAAAGAAGGCCCAAAGGUUUAAGCAGGAUAUGGUAAUAAAUAUACAUAAUAUGUAAACUUCAAAACUAUUGCAGAGAGAUAAAUGUGGUUUUGGAAGAAACAUGUUCCUAGAUAGGCAGAGUCUAAUUGUAGUAGCAUAUCAUUGUGAGACGAAUGCACUUUUUUAACUUCUCCCUAGCCUACCCAUGUGGUUCCAGAGGGUAACACAUUCAUUAAAUGCAAACUCGAUAGCAGAAUUUUCCCUCAUGACACAGAGCUUUUCCCAAGUGCACCAUAUAUCCUGAUUUGGAAUGUUCUAAAUCCAAGAAUAUAAUGUAUGAUAGUUUAUCAUCAAUACUGAUGAUAUAGAGACAAAGAUGAGAGCUAGGAACCAUGCCAAUUAGCUUGGAUGGGCUCCCCACUGUUUGAUCUGCUUCAACAUUGCAAAGGGAGGUUCUUCAGUACUUCUCAAGCUUCUAGAUUCCCUGCAGCUGCAAUAGGCUCAACCUUAAUUGUCUUCCAUUCAGUACUAUCUAAGUGUGCGGGCGAGUGAGGCUUGCAGGCGAUGUAUGAAACAAGUGCAAGACGCUAUAAAAAUAGUACUAUGUCUGUAUCUGUGGUAGUAGAUAAAAGUAACAUUAGUAUCAGUACUAAUUCUAAGUAUAUCAGAACAUGCAAAGAACAUAUGUAGUAGUAAUAGCCAGGUAGGCAUAGUUGCCAGAUUCGGUGGGUUUGAUUUGGGGAAACAAUGCAUUGGCAAGGCAACAGGCGAGGGAUGGAUGGAUGGAUGGAUGGACUUACGAUUUUGUCGAGCUCCCGGGUCUUGCGCAUCAGCUCCUCCUUGAGCCGGCUAUUCUCCUCAAGCUGCGGUGGCGUGGGAGGGGGAGAAUGGAUGACUGAGUCAGUGAUAUUGGCAGGGGUGAGAAAAGAGAUGGGCGAGGGGAGGGGGGAGGUGUCCUGGUGAUGGAUGGUGGCCUCGGCGUCCUCGACGGCGCGCAUGACCUGGAAGAGGUUGCCGGUGCCAGCGGCGUCGUCGGAGUCCUGGCACGCGGUGGCCAGCUCAUCGGCGUCGGCCAUGGCGCGGUGAUGGCGAUGCGGGUGGGGUACGGGGAGGAGAUGGGAGCACGGCGAGGGAGGCGGAACCCUAGGGAGGGGAGGGGAGGGGAGGCGGCUCCUCAAGUGGCUGGUCGCGCUGCUGGUGGAGACGAGACGGGAGUGGGGGAGGGAGGGGAUUCGCGCUCUCUCUCUCUNNNNNNNNNNAAACAGAUAGCCUAGCUAAAUCCAAGGACCUACUUGACGGCAAGGCACCAACAAAACAAGAAAGCCCCCCAAAAGUCCUCCUCUGGAACCUAGCUACCUAAGAAUCUGCUGCACAAGAAGAAACCCAAGGCAUUUUUGCUAGCCAGUCCUACAAAAUGGUACAUGAACAUAAGAGGGGAAGGAGCUCAACCAGCAGGAGCAUGACCAGUGCGGCCACACGCGGCAGAGGUGAAGCAUAGAUCGCUCGGAAUCGCGUGUGUAAGGAAGAACCCAACAACACGGUACAUGCGAGUAGCACCAGCAAACAAAUCAGUAGGUUACUUCUAGGACAUAGCACCUCGAUCACUCUUUACAUGAACAAUCCAGCAUUAUCUACUAAAAAACUAUCAACAAAAAUCUUGUAGCAUUAUUAUUUGUAGCAUGUAAGAACAAAUAGCUGCAAAUGGUAACUUGCGAAAAAAUAGAAGUAGUAGUGUCACAGCAAAUUAAAACAAGCCAUUCAACCAUUGCGGGGAGCGGGUCAAAGUGCGACUUACUCUUAUAACCAGAUUAAAUCAAGGACCAACAACAAUAUAGAUACAACAAAGUGCGACUGUACAUAUUCUACAAAACACACCACUGCACCAUGUAGAUACAACACAUAUCAAUUAGAAGGGGCAACUUGUGCCCUGUUUAUGAGAGAAAGAAAUCAAAUAAUAUUUGUAACAGUAGAUUGAGAUAUGAUGAGAAUACCUAAUCAGUAAAGCAUCACUACCCAACCAUAAGCAUAAAGGAAGUAAUAUGAGCUGAAAUCUCUGAUGGCAUAAAAAAUUAGAGCAUGUCUGACAUAACAUUUUGAAGUUACAAAUGGUAAAUAAACUACAACCAAGAAACAGAACAUUAAGUAGCUAGAGAGUAUACACUACUUUCUAAUAGGAAAGAAUGUAAUUUAAUCGGUAAGGUACUGUCACUGUCUCCAACAUGAAAAAACGAAGAAACCUUUUGUAAUCAGUAUCUACCAUGCUCAUGUUUCUUCUGUAUUCAGUACAGUAGCUGCAACCAUGCGCAUAUCACCGAGCAGGAAAAAGAGAGAAGGUUACGGCUUACUUAACAUUUGCCAAUUGAUGCUGCCUGCACCCAUACUUUAUGAAUCUGCUGCUUCUAAUUCUGUUACAACCUGCCACUCCUCAUUAUAUGUUGCCCCAUCAUUUUCCUGCAACGCAUCUAUAUAACAAAAAGCACCACAUCAAGUGAGGUACGAAAAUAGCAGAUAGCAAAGCAACAUGAGAAUAGUAGUCAAGUAUAUUGGCAUACCUUUAAUUCUCAAAUAGUUGAUUGGUUCAUGACGAUGGUUCGAGGAGAAAGCUGCAAUUGAAAAAAUAAAGAUAUUCUUACAAAGAAGGCCCAAAGGUUUAAGCAGGAUAUGGUAAUAAAUAUACAUAAUAUGUAAACUUCAAAACUAUUGCAGAGAGAUAAAUGUGGUUUUGGAAGAAACAUGUUCCUAGAUAGGCAGAGUCUAAUUGUAGUAGCAUAUCAUUGUGAGACGAAUGCACUUUUUUAACUUCUCCCUAGCCUACCCAUGUGGUUCCAGAGGGUAACACAUUCAUUAAAUGCAAACUCGAUAGCAGAAUUUUCCCUCAUGACACAGAGCUUUUCCCAAGUGCACCAUAUAUCCUGAUUUGGAAUGUUCUAAAUCCAAGAAUAUAAUGUAUGAUAGUUUAUCAUCAAUACUGAUGAUAUAGAGACAAAGAUGAGAGCUAGGAACCAUGCCAAUUAGCUUGGAUGGGCUCCCCACUGUUUGAUCUGCUUCAACAUUGCAAAGGGAGGUUCUUCAGUACUUCUCAAGCUUCUAGAUUCCCUGCAGCUGCAAUAGGCUCAACCUUAAUUGUCUUCCAUUCAGUACUAUCUAAGUGUGCGGGCGAGUGAGGCUUGCAGGCGAUGUAUGAAACAAGUGCAAGACGCUAUAAAAAUAGUACUAUGUCUGUAUCUGUGGUAGUAGAUAAAAGUAACAUUAGUAUCAGUACUAAUUCUAAGUAUAUCAGAACAUGCAAAGAACAUAUGUAGUAGUAAUAGCCAGGUAGGCAUAGUUGCCAGAUUCGGUGGGUUUGAUUUGGGGAAACAAUGCAUUGGCAAGGCAACAGGCGAGGGAUGGAUGGAUGGAUGGAUGGACUUACGAUUUUGUCGAGCUCCCGGGUCUUGCGCAUCAGCUCCUCCUUGAGCCGGCUAUUCUCCUCAAGCUGCGGUGUCGUGGGAGGGGGAGAAUGGAUGACUGAGUCAGUGAUAUUGGCAGGGGUGAGAAACAGAGAUGGGCGAGGGGAGGGGGGAGGUGUCCUGGUGAUGGAUGGUGGCCUCGGCGUCCUCGACGGCGCGCAUGACCUGGAAGAGGUUGCCGGUGCCAGCGGCGUCGUCGGAGUCCUGGCACGCGGUGGCCAGCUCAUCGGCGUCGGCCAUGGCGCGGUGAUGGCGAUGCGGGUGGGGUACAGGGAGGAGAUGGGAGCACGGCGAGGGAGGCGGAACCCUAGGGAGGGGAGGGGAGGGGAGGCGGCUCCUCAAGUGGCUGGCCGCGCUGCUGGUGGAGACGAGACGGGAGUGGGGGAGGGAGAGGAUUCGCUCUCUCUCUCUCUCUGUUCAUAGGAGGUGGCGGACCCUCCCUCUGCUGCUGCUCAUCGUUGUUGGGGAGGGAGGAGGGGGCUUUGUUGAGGUGGAUCUNNNNNNNNNNGGCUCCUCUUUGAUCCGACAGCGCAGGUCAUCCGGCGGCUCGAUCCGACGGCCAAGAUCAGAUUAAGCAACCAGAUCCAACGGCCAGGAAUGCCAAGCGGCUGAGGAGGCUGGAGGAUGACUGGAAUCCUUAUUUCUCGAUUCGUUUGCCCCAUGCGAGUGCAUCCCCCAAAGGCCGCAACCUCUUCUACACCACCGCUUAUGGUUGAAGUUGUUGCCGUCCUCCCCCUGCUUCUUGGACGGUUCGCCUCUGCUUGAGCAUGACUGCGGCGUCCCGCCCAAUUGGCCUUGACAAUGCUCCUCGGCCUCAGCUAAAGCCACUGGCCCGUUCCACUGAUGUUUAGAAUUGCUGCUCAUGCAUCUGCUUGCCACUUUGCCGACAAUGCUACUCGUCGACCCGUGCAACUCUAGCAUGUUGGCUACUUGUCGCGUGCCUCUUGGACCAGAUAGUUUCUAAAUCGAUGCAUUGAAGUUAAACUACAUAGUUGACCUUUUAAGUUUGGGAGCACUUGGUCAGGCAGCUAAAAACUGGUUUUGUUUCAGUUGAUUUGCUCUCCCUCUUUCAACUAUCUUAUUUAAAUCCAAAGCCUCAUGUUUUUCAUCCUCCUGCCAUCGAAGCGACAAUGUUCUUUUUGAUGGAAAUAUUCCCUAGAGGCAAUAAUAAAAUGGUUAUUAUUAUAUUUCCUUAAUCAUGAUAAAGGUUUAUUAUUCAUGCUAGAAUUGUAUUAAUCAGAAACUUAAAUACAUGUGUGGAUACAUAAACAAAUACCAUGUCUCUAGUGAGCCUCUACUAGACUAGCUUGUUGAUCAAAAGAUGGUUAAGGUUGCCUAACCAUAGACAUGUGUUGUCACUUGAUAACGGGAUCACAUCAUUAGGAGAAUGAUGUGAUGGACAAGACCCAUCUAUUAGCUUAGCAUCUGAUCGUUCAGUUUAUUGCUACUGCUUUCUUAAUGCCAAAUACAUGUUUCUUCAACCAUGAGAUCAUGCAACUCCCGUAUAUCGGAGGAAUACCUUGUGUGCUAUCAAAGGUCACAACAUAACUGGGUGAUCAUAAAGAUGCUCUACAGGUAUCUCCGAAGGUGUCUGUGGAGUUGGCGUGAAUCGAGAUUGGAAUUUGUUACUCCGUAUGGCGGAGAGGUAUCUCUGGGCCCUCUCAGUAAUACACAUCACAAGAAGCUUGCAAGAAAAAUGACUAAGGAGUUAGUUACGAGAUGAUGUAUUACGAAACGAGUAAAGAGACUUGCCGGUAAUGAGAUUGAACUAGUUAUGGAGAUAUCAACGAUCGAAUCUCGGGCAAGUAACAUACCGACAGACAAAGGGAAUUACGUAUGCUGUCAUAACGGUUUGAUCGAUAAAUAUCUUUGUAGAAUAUGUAGGAACCAAUAUGGGCAUCCAAGUUCCGCUAUUGGUUAUUUACCGGAGAGGUGUCUCGGUCAUGCCUACAUAGUUCUCGAAGCCAUAGGGUCCACACUUUUAACGUUCGUUGAUGAUAUAGUGUUCUAUGAGUUAUAUUAUUUGGUGACGGAAUGUUGUUCGGAGUCCCGGAUUAGGUCAUGGACAUGACGAGGAGCUCCGGAAUGGCCCGGAGGUAAAGAUCAAUAUAUAGGUCGAUGAUAUUUGGACACCGGAAGAGUUUUGGGAGGUACCGGGUAGUCAUCGGAUCAUCAGAAGUGGUUCCGGGAAGCCCCGGGAUGCUAUAUGGCUUAAUGGGCCAAAGGAGGAACACACCAGCCCACAAGGGGCUGGUGCGCCCCUCUCCCUGGCCGCCGGCCCUAGGGGAAGGAAAGGGGGAGGGUUGGCCCCUCCUUCCUUUCCCUCCUCAUGAGAGANNNNNNNNNNNNNNNNNNNNNNNNNNNNNNNNNNNNNNNNNNNNNNNNNNNNNNNNNNNNNNNNNNNNNNNNNNNNNNNNNNNNNNNNNNNNNNNNNNNNNNNNNNNNNNNNNNNNNNNNNNNNNNNNNNNNNNNNNNNNNNNNNNNNNNNNNNNNNNNNNNNNNNNNNNNNNNAGGGGGCGCCACACAAGGACCACGUCGAUCUCUUAGCCGUGUGCGGCACCCCUCUCCAUAGUUUCAUCCAUCAGUCAUAUUUUCAUAGUGCUUAGGUGAAGCCUUGCGUAAAUAGCAUCACCACCACCAUCACCACUUCGCCCGUCUUGCUGGAUCAAGAUGGCGAGGACGUCACCGAGAUGAACAUGUGCGUCACCGAGAUGAACUUGAUCGGUUGGACCGUGAAGAAGUUCGACUAUAUCAAUUGCGUUAAUAAACGCUUCCGCUUACGGUCUACGAGGGUACAUAGACACACUCUCCCCUCUUGUUGCUAUGCAUCUCCAUGGAUACAUCUUGCGUGUGCAUAUUUUUUUUUUGUUUUCCAUGCGACGUUCCCCAACACUUCUUCCUCACUGAACCUAUGAUUUCUCUCCCUCCUAUUGAUAAUCCCCAAGUGCAGGGAAUCAUAGUAGCAAUUCCCAAAGGUGGAAGUGAUAAGUAUGGAGUGUCGAACCCACAAGGAGCUAAAGGUAAGAUCAAUAUUCUCUCAAGCCCUAUCUGCCACUGAUACGACUCUAGUGCACCGAACGUUUGCUUCCAACUAGCAACGAGAAAUAAAACUAUGUUGUGGGUAUGUAGAGGAUAACUUUGUAUGAUAUCGGAGAGCUAAAACAUAAAAGUAGGUGUUGUUAUCAUAAAGUUAGAAUAUAAUACUAAAUAUUAUAAAUAGCGAGUGUGGAAUAAUGGUGGAUCGGUGUGCGGAAUUGUCCUAGGCAAUAGUUAACAAGACUGAUAAUCACUAUUGCAGUUUCAUAUGAGGGAGAGGCAUAAGCUAACAUACUUUCUCUUCUUGGAUCAUAUGCACUUAUGAUUGGAACUCUAGCAAGCGUCGUCAACUACUGAAGAUCAUAAAGGUAACAACCAACCAUAGCAUUAAAGCAUCAAGUCCUCUUUAUUCCCAUACACAACAACCUACUUACUCGGAUUUGUGUUUUAGUCACUCACGCAACCCACUAUAAGCGAAUCAUGAACGUAUUGCAACACCCUACAGCGGGAAUCCCUCAUGCUUGCGCGACACGGAGGGCACCAUAGGAUAGCAUCAAAGUAAAACAUACAACUCAUACCAAUCUAAAUCAUCAAUCAACCCAAAGACAAAAGAUAUCUACUCAAAACAUCAUAGGAUGGCAACACAUCAUUGGAUCAUAAUAUGUGGCAUAGAGCACCAUGUUCCUGUAGGGAUUACAGCGGGGUGCGGGAGAGUGGACCGCGUAAAAGAGAUGAGGAUGGUGAUGAUGAUGGUGAUGUUGAUGAAGACGAUCACCGCGGCGAUGAUUCCCCUCCCGAUGGCACUCCGGUGCCACCAAGAGAGAGCAGGAGAGGUUCUCCCCCUUGUGCUUCCUCCUCCAUGACUUUCCCCCUCUGGUCCUUGGCCUUGAUGGUGAUGAUGGACCCUCCGAGAUCCUCCUCCAUGGCCCCCGGUGAUGAUGGCCCCCUCCGGCAGGGUGCCGGAGAGGUCCUAGAUUGAUUUCUCAUGGCUACAGAGGCUUGCGGCGGGGGAACUUAUGAUCUAGGUCAAUUCCCGAAGGUUUCUGUAUUUAUAGGAAUAUUUGGCGUUGGUUUCACGUCAGGGGGGUCUCUGGGCUGUCCACGAGAUAGGGGGCGCGCCCCCCACUCUCGUGGGCAGCCCGGGACUCUUCCGGCCCAACUCUGAUGCUCCGUGGUCUUCUUUUGGUCCAUAAAAAAUCCUCAAAAAUUGGCACGUCAAUUGGACUCCGUUUGGUAUCCCUUUUCUGUAAAACACAAAAACUAGGAGAAAACAGAAAUUGGCACUGGGCUCUAGGUUAAUAGGUUAGUCCCAAAAAUCAUAUAAAAUGACAUAUAAAUGCAUAUAAAACAUCAUAGAUGAAUAAUAUAAUAGCAUGAAUACUUCAUAAAUUAUAGAUAUGUUGGAGACGUAUCAGCAUCCCUAAGCUUAAUUCCUGCUCUUCCGCGAGUAGGUACAUGAUAAAAGAAAUAAUUUAUGAAGUGUGAAUGCUAGUAGGUGGACAAGUUUGAUCAAUGAUAAUUUCAAUCACCUUUUCUAGCAUCAAAAUGUGUCAUAAUAGUAGCUUAUCUCAUAAAACUUUUCAUGAUCAAGUAACAAUCUAUUCACAAUGUCAAGUAUGGUUCAGAAACUUCAUUGAGAACUAACAAACUAUAAUCUCAGUCAUUUAAGCAAUUGCAAUUUAUCAUAACAUCAGAAAGAGUCAAGAAUAGAGCUUUUUAGCAAGUCCACAUACUCAACUAUCAUAUAGUCUUCUACAAUUGCUAACACUCACGCAAUACUUGUGGUUAGGGAGUUUCAGCCAGACACUGAGAAAGAUAGGGGCUUAUUGUGUUGCCUCCCAACGUAUUCACCUUUAGGUGAUGUCAACUAUAAUAGCCCAUGCUAACUUACAUCCAAUUGGAUAUAUAUACCAUGAUCUUUCAAACACAAGGAGCUUGCCAAAGGACAAAAUGAAAAAGGGAAAGGUGAGGAUCACCUUGACUCAAGCAUAAAGUAAAAACAUAAAGUAAAAGAUAGGCCCUUCGCAGAGGGAAGCAGAGGUUGUCUUGUGCGUUUAGGGUUGGAUGCAUAAAAUCUUAAUGCAAAAGAACGUCACUUUAUAUUGCCCCUUGUAUGUUGACCUUUAUUAUGCAGUCCGUCGCUUUUAUUGCUUCCACAACAAGAUCGUACAAAGCUUAUUUUCUCUGCACUAAUAAGUCAUACAUAUUUAGAUAGCAAUUUUUAUUGCCUGCAACAUGACCACUUGAAGGAUCUUACUCAAUCCAUAGGUAGGUAUGGUGGACUCUCAUGGCAAAACUGGGUUUAAGGAUAUUUGGAAACACAAGUAGUAUCUCUACUUAGUGCAAGGAAUUUGGCUAGCAUGAGGGGGAAAGGCAAGCUCAACAUACUUGGAAGGUCAAUGACAAUAUACUUUAACUGAGAUGUGAGAAAACACAAAUCAUUAUGUUGUCUUCCUUGUCCAACGUCAACUCUUUUAGCAUGUCAUAAUUAAUGAGUGCUCCCUAUCAUAAAAGAUGUCCAAGAUAAUAUAUUUGUAUGUGAACCUCUCUUUCCUUAUUACUUCCUAUUAAUUGCAACGAUGACCAAAACUACGUUUACCAACUCUCAACAACUUUUAUGCCUCAUACUGUUUAUAUGUGAAGUCAUUACUAUCCAUGUUAUAAGCAUAAUAAAACAUAUAGAAAUUCAGAUUCAUGACAUUCAAUUCAUUCCCCCAUUUACUCAUAGGAUGAACAUGAAGCACAUGAGUAAAUGACAAACUACUCCAAAAGAUAUGAGUGAAAGACAUGGAGUAGUCAAAUAAUUAACUAGCCAUGGGAGGGUUCCUUUUUUAUUCAAUAUUCAGAUCCAAUGAUUUUAUUCAAACAGCAAGUAAAAUCGAAAACACGCUCCAAGCAAAACACAUAUCAUGUGACGAAUAAAAAUAUAGCUCCGAGUAAGAUGUACCGAUAGUUUUGAAGACGAAAGAGGGGAUGCCUUCCGGGGCAUCCCCAAGCUUAGGCGCUUGAGUCUUCCUUGAAUAUUACCUUGGGGUGCCUUGGGAAUCCCCAAGCUUAGGGUCUUUCCACUCCUUAUUCUACUCAUAUCGAUAUCUCGCCCAAAACUUGAAAACUUCAAUCACACAAAACUUAAUGGAACUUCGUGAGAUAGGUUAGUAUGAUAAAGAGUAAACCAUGCACUUUGGUACUGUAAAAGACAAGGUUAAUAAUUGUUUUCACAUAAUGCNNNNNNNNNNUACUGUACCAUAUCAUUUCUACAAUUUAUAUUGAGAAAUAUAAGCCAUAGAAACUAGAAAACAAGCAAACUAUGCAGUGAAAACAGAAUCUGUCACAAAUAGAACAGUCUGUAAUGAUCUGAGCAAUAACCAUACUUCUGCUACUCCAAAAAUUAUGAAAUAAAUUGGUGGACAUGAGGAAUUUGUCUACUAAUCUUCUGCAAAAAGAAUAAACUCAAAGUCACACUUCUGUAAAAAAUGACAGCUAAUCUCGUGAGCGCAAAGUUUCUAUUUUUUACAGCAAGAUCACAUUAACUCUCACCCAAGUCUUCCCAAAGGUCUUACUUGGCACUUUAUUGAAACAAAAGCUAUAAAACAUGAUUACUACAGUAGCUUAAUCAUGUAGACACACAAAAACAGUCAGGAUAAAUAUUGGGUUGUCUCCCAACAAGCGCUUUUAUUUAAUGCCUUUUAGCUAGGCAUGAUGAUUUCAAUGAUGCUCGCAUAAAAGAAAAGAGUUGAAACACAAAGAGAGCAUCAUGAAGAAUAUGACUAGCACAUUUAAAUCUAACUCACUUCAUAUGCCUGGGGAUUUUGUGAGCACACAACUUAUGGGAACAAGAAUCAACUAGCAUAGGAAGGCAAAACAAGUUUAACUUCAAAACUUAAAGCUCAUAGAGAGGAAACUUGAUAUCAUUGCAACUCCUACAAGUAUAUAUUCCCCCCUCAUAAUAGUUUUCAGUAUCAUCAUGGAUAACAACCUUUUUUCUCAUACUAAAUUGGAACCUCUUCCGAAAUAGUGGAAUACUAACUAAAGUUGACACUCUUCCAAAUCCACUUUCAUGAAUAUCGUACAAUGAUUCAACACCCUCCAAGAUAGUGGGAUCACUAAUUCCUAAAGUUGACACUCUUCCAAACCCACUUUAAAUUAUAGUACUAUUCAUACUCCAAAAGAUAUAAGUGAAGUUCCUGGAGCAUUCUAUAAUUAAUAUAGACUAGCCAAUAUCCAAGCUCAAAAUAUAUAAGUGAAGCGCACGAAGCAUUCUAUAAAACCAUACUCAAACGAUAUAAGUGAAGCACAAAGAGCAAUUAUCUAAGAUCAUACUUAAAAGAUAUAAGUGAAGCUAAUGAAGUAUAAAUGAAUGAAGAGCUCUCUCAUAUAUCAUGAUUCUUGAAGAAAAAUAAAAACACAAAGGACAUGAAUCGUGUGAACAAAGCAAAAACCGAGGUAUACCGAUAUUUGUUGAGGAAGAAAGAUGGGAUGCCAACCGGGGCAUCCCCAAGCUUAGAUGCUUGAGUAUCCUUUAAAAUAUUUACUUGGGGUGCCUUGGGCAUCCCCAAGCUUGAACUCUUGUCUCUCUUUAUUCUUCUCACAUCAAUAACUCCUCGUUCUUCAAACACUUCAUUCACAAAAACUUAAAAAAAAACUUGUGAGAUCCGUUAGUGUAAUAAAGCAAACUACCACUUUAAGGUACUGUAAUUAACAAUUUAUUUAUUUUUAUUGGUGUUAAACCUACUGUAUUCCAACUUCUCUAUGGUUCAUACCCUUACAUACUAGCCAUAGAUGCAUCAAAAUAAGCAAACAAUACACGAAAAACAGAAUCUGUCAAGAACAGGACAGUCUGUAGUAAUCUGGAAGUUCAGUAAACUUCUGUAACUCCAAAAAUUAUGAAAUAAAAUUGAAAAUUUGAAAUAUUUGUACAGAAGUAAUGUGCAAAAAGUUUCAUACCCAUUUGUCUUUCCAGUAAAAAAUGUAAAUUCAUGCACUACAGCCAAAGUUUCUAUUUUUCUGCACAUAGUAAGCAAGCAAUCUUAUCAUACUAAAACCAAAGCUUGGCACACUAUUUUUAUAUUAAAAAGGAUAUAUACAAGGGUAUAAUUAUUUACAGAGAAACUUUCAUGAAAAAUUCUACAUUGUUUCCGUGAGCAUGAACUCAAGUGCUCAAGGUCGACCCUCACUUCUUCAAUGCAUAACUUUCCAAUCACUUCUCUUUUUGAAAAACUUUUUUAGGCAUGACAGGCAAGUAAUUCUUUUUUGGUAUUUUCAUUCUUUUUAAUUUUUGUGUAUGUUUCAUCCACAACUAAACAGAAACAAAAAGGGAAAAUAAAAUCUACUUAGUGAAGAAAGCAAACAAGCACACACGAGAAUAUCAACCCCACGCUAUCACUCCCCGGCAACGGCGCCAGAAAAGAGCUUGAUAAUCCCCAAGUGCAGGGAAUCAUCGUAGCAAUUCCCAAAGGUGGAAGUGAUAAAUAUGGAGUGUAGAACCCACAAAGAGCUAAAGGUAAGAUCAAUAUUCUCUCAAGCCCUAUCUGCCACUGAUACGACUCUACAUGCACCGAACAUUUGCUUCCAACUAGCAACGAGAAAUAAAACUAUGUUGUGGGUAUAUACAGGAUAACUUUGUAUGAUAUCGGAGAGCUAAAACAUAAAAGUAGGUGCUGUUGUCAUAAAGUUAGUAAAUAAUACUAAAUAUUAUAAAUAGCGAGUGUGGAAUAAUGGUGGAUCGGUGUGCGGAAUUGUCCUAGGCAAUUGUUAACAAGACCGAUAAUCACUAUUGCAGUUUCAUAUGAGGGAGAGGCAUAAGCUAACAUACUUUCUCUUCUUGGAUCAUAUGCACUUAUGAUUGGAACUCUAGCAAGCAUCCGCAACUACUAAAGAUCAUUAAGGUAAAACCCAACCAUAGCAUUAAAGCAUCAAGUCCUCUUUAUUCCCAUACGCAACAACCUACUUACUCGGUUUGUGUUUCAGUCACUCACGCAACCCACUAUAAGCGAAUCAUGAACGUAUUGCAACACCCUACAGCAGGAAUCCCUCAUGCUUGCGCGAUACAGAGGGCACCAUAGGACAACAUCAAAGUAAAACAUACAACUCAUACCAAUCUAAAUCAUCAAUCAACCCAAAGACAAAAGAUAUCUACUCAAAACAUCAUAGGAUGGCAACACAUCAUUGGAUCAUAAUAUGUGGCAUAAAGCACCAUGUUCAAGUAGGGAUUACAGCGGGGUGCGGGAGAGUGGACCGCGUAAAAGAGAUGAGGAUGGUGAUGACGAUGGUGAUGUUGAUGAAGACGAUCACCGCGGCGAUGAUUCCCCUCCCGAUGGCACUCCGGUGCCACCAAGAGAGAGGAGGAGAGGUUCUCCCCCUUGUGCUUCCUCCUCCAUGGCUUUCCCCCUCUGGUCCUUGGCCUUCAUGGUGAUGAUGGCCCCUCCGAGAUCCUCCUCCAUGGCCUCCGGUGAUGAUGGCCCCCUCCGGUAGGGUGCCGGAGAGGGCCUGGAUUGAUUUCUCAUGUCUACAGAGGCUUGCGGCGGCGAAACUUUUGAUCUAGGUCAAUUCCCGAAGGUUUCUGUAUUUAUAGGAAUAUUUGGCGUUGGUUUCACGUUAGGGGGGUCUCCGGGCUGUCCACGAGAUAGGGGGCGCGCCCCCACUCUCGUGGGCAGCCCGGGACUCUUCUAGCCCAACUCCGAUGCUCCGUGGUCUUCUUUUGGUCCAUAAAAAAUCCUCAAAAAUUGGCACGCCAAUUGGACUCCGUUUGGUAUCCCUUUUCUGUAAAACACAAAAACAAGGAGAAAACAGAAACUCGCACUGGGCUCUAGGUUAAUAGGUUAGUCCCAAAAAUCAUAUUAAAUGACAUAUAAAUGCAUAUAAAACAUCAUAGAUGAAUAAUAUAAUAGCAUGAAUACUUCAUAAAUUAUAGAUUGGAGACGUAUCACCUAUCCUUAGCUGAUUUGGCUGCCUCAAAUUCGUUGAGUACUCGUUUGAGCAAUUACCAAGGACUUACUUCUUGUUGCAUUGCUUCAAGAGAUCUUGGAUGAUAGGUCCAUAGUCCGAGAUUUGCACACCACUCGGUGGCGCAUGGUUGACUUGAUCAAUAUAACCAGGCCAUCGGUUGCAUUGGUCUUGCAUGGUACCUCCAUUGGUUACCAAGAGAGCCUUGGAUGUGGCGUUAUGUGACUUCCAUUAUGUUGAUGUAGUACUCUACAAUUCUACCCGAGAGUCGGUCCUUCGAUUGAUCUGUUCCAAUUGAUGCAUCAACUGACAUGUUUGUCCAAGCGUUACACAAUGCAAUAUAUUAAUCUUGGCAAUACUUGUGAGUCCUAGAUAUUGAUGGUGCCCUCGCGCUUGUUGUGACUCCAUAGAACUAUCAACAACUUCCGGAUCCUCCUUGGCGUCGGCCUCCACUUUUGGCUCAUAAUCCUCCUCGGGGUCUUCUUGUUGAUCAGACACCGAGUUAUAGUUGAGAUCUUCAAGCCCAAGCAUAUGUGACUCCUCCAAAGAUGAUCAAAGUUUGUUUGUGUUAUUCUCCGCACUAUGACAACAAGCACAUCACCCUAGGGCCGCAAGCAAUCACCAUACAAUGCACCGAUCGAUAUGAAAAUACAUUUAUUUACCUUGAUGGCAUUUGUUUGACCACUUGGCGGCCACGACCCUUGGUGAUGGCAGUGGCGGCCGGACGAGCAACCGUAAGGGUGGCCGAAGAUGUGGUGCGAGGCACCAGAGGCAUCUUAUUCUUAUUAUCCUCGCUAUAUCCUCGGUGAGCGCUGACGCAGGUCUCAUCGACCUCCUUGCCCGCUUGUCAGAGGCUGGAGCAGCGGGAGGGCUGCCUCACAUCUUCAAAGAAGCAGUGGUCUUUCCACCGACCUUGCUACCGGCGAUGCUUGCCUGUGUGGUGGCAUGUGUGGGUUUUAAGUGCCUAGCUUCUUCCUUGUUGUGGGCAGCGGCACAGGGCUCAUUUCCUGAUGCGUCGCGCUGGCGGUGGUGGCUGGCAAGGUGGUGGAAGGGUCUUACAUGUACAUCAUUUUGUCCUCGGGUAGGUAGCCGUGUCCGGCCUUCUUGCCGAUGGCGUUUGCACUGCACUCGCAGGUCUUCCUCACAUUCGUCUGCAACUUGACAUGAAAAUAUUUCUGCCACAUGCCAAAGUGGGACUCGACAUAGAGAAAAGCCUCACACAAGGUGAUGAAGCAUGCAAUGUGAAAGAUAGCAAUGAGGGAAGGUAGUGGACUUUGAAGUAGUAAAAAUGCAGGAAACCCCAGAAGGACAGAUUUAUCAGAAAAGCCCAAUCCGUGAAUCAAAAAAGGGAUGAAAUUGACACUCUUAUGCGGAUCAGGCUAUGGGUACACCUCUUCUCGGGCGUCGCCAUUCUCGGUCACGAUGAUGGGAGAGCACGCGAGGACCACGAUAGCUGCGGAAGAUACCCAUCUGCGGCAAGGCGGUCCAACUGGCCACGCUAGUGGAGGGCAUCCAUUUUCCCUUUGUCUUGGAGGUGACCUUGGCUACAACAGUGACAAUCUCCUUUCCAGUGCUGACCAUCUUUCCAUCCGUGGUGAGCUUGUAGCACAUGGCGGCACGGUGGUGAUGUUGGGUUGUGCUAGAGCGAUGGUGCUAUGGCACAGUGAAGUAGCAGGACAACGACAUAGCGCAAAAGCGGUGGAGCUGUUGUUGUGCCAGGAAGAAGAUGAGAACAAGGGAAACAAUAGCAUGAGCUCCCCCUCGCUCCAUCCAUUCCCUUAUAUACGAGGGUGGAAAUGUGAAAUGGCGGCAUGCAAUCAACGCCACCCAGUGGUAAAUCUCUUCAUACCCCCGCGAUGGCGCUAAGUGCACGUGGGGAUUGAGGUGACUCUGUUAAGUGCGUGCGAGAAUCAGGCAUGCUUCCUCUGUUGAUGCAUGGGACGUGGAGUGGGUGGGACCUAUACCCACUCAUGCACGUCACAUUGACCGCUAGGUCAAGUCUGACACAUGGUCCGGUGGGACCAACUGAUGAGACAGGUCUGCUCUAACAGGACUGUACAGUUUGAACCAUAAAGACGCUAUGCGGGAAUUCAACCCAUGAGGAGCAGACUGCGCGGGAAACAUUUUCGGCACAGGUAGGCUAUCUUCAUCAAUGGCUUAAGACCGAGGUUAAUUACGCUACCCCAAAGGCGGUCUGGCAGCUUGAGACCUAUUACGUGAAGAUGUUGUUAAUUAGGGAGGCUUGGAAGAACAAGUUUCAACCUCGACGACCUAAAGACAAUGUGCAACUUGGUGUUGGCAAGCUUGAACACCAAAUUAGGGCUACUGAUGGUGUCACGGCCCAGGGGUACCUCACCAUGUCAGUUCUCGGCCUGGUGGAGCCCUAGGUCGGUUUCAUCCUGGCUCACUUUGGGCAGCCCGUGACAUUUAUAUGGAAGACUCCAGACGACUUAAUGUACAAGACAAGUGUACGUGAGCUGAGGAGGAGUCUACCUCCACCGAUCUAGUCGACUAGGAUCUGUAAGCCUAGGACCCCUGGUAUGUUGUAUAAGCUGGGGUCGGGCUCGUCGAGAGAUCAUCAGGUAGGUUCCCCUUUGGUAUAUCAUAUCUAAAGCUAAUUUGAUUGAUUUACAAUGAUCCUUUUUUGCAUGAGUAUAGGGAUACAUUUAACCAUGGGGCUCGUAGCUUUCCCAAGGUGGCCACACGAUAUUGGUUCGAUAUCAUGUAUGGCCUCUCUAGCCAGCAUCUUUGCUUGUAUCCUGAACAAUCCUAGAUCUAUAAAGAAAAUCAUGGGUGUAGAAUAAUCCCACACCUGGCAGAUCAAGAUUGGUCGAACAUGAUCCUUAUUUAUAGGAGACAUCUAUUUCUCAAUUGACUAAAAUUUAACGCAAAACUGAUUUAUAAAUUUCUGUAUGAAUCUAAGCAAAAUUUUACCAUGUUGUAAAAAAUGUGUUCAUCUAGUGCAAAGCAGAUGUAGUUUUAACUAAGGCUCCACUGAAUUUACCAUGUUGUAAAAAAGUACUGAGAGUGAUAUAAUAGUUCAUUCAGGCGGAAAUCCAAUUUGGCUCUCGGGUGCACAUGCUAUUGCGCGUGAAAAUAAUUUGGAAAUGUCAAAACAAAUCCAACAAAAAAUUUAUGUGUUCAUAGUCACAUCCAAAUGCUACUUACAAACUCUUAGGCAAAAACUUUAAGCAUUUUGGCCAGUGAAAAAAAUAAAAUUAAAUACCAAAUAUUAAUAACAAAUGUCACCUAAAAUUUGUUUUUUUUUUCACCGACGAAACACUGCCGCUCCGUUCCACAUGAAAAUUGUCAAGGAUGACACUAACACGAACAUUUUCAAAAAGAAACUCAUAUUUUUUUUAAUGUUUACAAUUUUUUUAUGGUUACUGUUCAUGCAGGAGGAUGUGCUCCCAGGAGCCAAAACGCCUCCCCCGUUGUUCAGGUUAGUUAAAAAAUGCAGUAUUACUCUCAGAGUUGUUGGUUUGAUGGUUAUGUCUAUUGAGCGCUAAGAAAUUAUACGACAAUUGAGAAUUAGGAAAACCACUUUUCAUAUCACAGAAACUUAAAUCGAGAUUUCUAUAAGUUUAUUGAGUUGUGUAGUCCAGCCAAAAUCAGUUUGUAUAAUUUAUUAUAAUUUUCCAUAUCUUAGUAGCACAAGGUUUUGGCACAUGAAAGUACAUUGUAUCCAUCAUUUCCAUAGCAUUCACCAUUCGCAACAGCACCAUAUGGAACGGUUGCAAUGACUUUUUUCAAAGUUGUAACCACGCUAUUCACAGCUAAGCUUGCACAUAGCAACAUUGUUGGGCGUUUAUAUCUGGCAUGCUCGGAAAGGAGUACACGAAGUCCACAAUCCAGUUGUACCUACAAACAACAAGGUAUAUAUAGCAUCCCCGUUCAUAUUAGCAUAUGUAGUAUAAGUUGCAUGAGUUUAGAUUAUAUGAAUAUCCAAGGUACAUCAUACAUAAUUGGACUAUUGUAAACAUAAACAAAGAGUGUACCUUUGUUUAUCGUAGUUGCUUGACAUGACCAUAAAGUGCUAGACAUCAUCAGAAGAACUACGAAACAUAUAGCCUAUGUGUUGUUCUUGAUAGGUGCCAUGAGGAGUGGUUUCUUAUUCCUUUUUCCUCCUAUACCUGUAUUCUUUAUGGGCGAUAUCUCUCAACCUAUAUUUCUUAUUGUGUUAUUUAUUAGAGGCAUAAAUCUCGAAGGACCCAUUCUUGCUCUUAUAUUAUUUCUCACAUUUAUGUUUUGAUCAUCAUGUGUUUAUAUAUAGUCACUUGAUGUCCGCAAGGUCACUAUAGCAUUUAGAUAUGAUAUACCAAAAUAUAUCUUGUGGAGAACAUGUUACUAAAUGCAACCUAGAUUUUGAUAUUUGAAAUUAAUCACUACUCUGAAAUACCAUACAUAUAGCACAUUAAGUUGUGCCCCCGCAAAAAAAGCAUAUUAAAUAUGUAUCUUCAGUAGUAGUUGUUCUAUCAUGUAGCAUAGUAGACCCAUGUAAGAAAAACAUAUCGGAUAAUAAUCACAACAUUAUUUCUUUAGGAUUCCACAACAUUAAACCAUUAUAUUAUGUCUUUAGCACUCAAUGUAACAAGCAGAAAAGGCCACCCGAAAUAGUUAGAAAUAAGCCUGUAGAUAACCUCUACUACCGGGUUUUGCAUGCACGCAGUUUGCAAAAGGGACACGAAAGAAAGUUGCCCCCUUUUUCUUUGAGCAAAAAAAACCCUUGUCUUGUGGGCAGAGAUAGGCCCAGAUACACAAGGCCGCAACACGGGGCUUGAUUAUAUUUACGACAGAUAUGUUCACUAGCCCACCAACUUGCCUUUCCUUCGCUUCGAGGUUUUCUUAGUGGAAUUCCCUAUUUGCCGCUCAUUACGUCGAACUGUCGAUGCAAAGCACAGAGCUGGGGAUUGAAGCGCUCACGUGGGCCGGCCCGUUAAUCAAUUGGGUCACUUUCUGGUUUUGGGUACCUUCUAGAGUUUCCUAGCCGAGUUUUUCUGGUUAUGGGAAACUUCUAGAAGGUUCCUUGAACCGUAUUUCUUUUUGUCGAUAUUUCUGUUUCUUUUUUUUCUUUUUUAUUUCUUUUCAUUUCCUUUUCUAUUUCUUUUUUUUUUCAUUUCCUUUAUAUUUCAAGUCCAUUUUUUAAAAACAAAUCAGGUUUCAAAUUUUGUUCAGAAACUGAAAAAAAAUUCGUACUUUUACAGUAUUUUCAAUUUUGUAAAAAAUUUCGUGCUUUCAAAAAUUGUUCAUAAAUUCAAAUAAUGUUCGCAUUUUCAAAAAAUUGUACGGGCAUUUCAAAAAGUGUUCCCAUUUUCCAUAAAUUGUUCAGAAUAUUUUUUUUAUUUUUUGUAACUUUUCAAAUAAUGACUGGGAUUUAAAAAAUGGUUAUGUUUUAAAAAAUUGUUCUUGUUUCCAAAUUUUGCUGACAUAUUCAAAAAUGUUCAUGUUCCAAAUUUGAUUGGAAUUUUUAAAAUUGUUCUCUGGUUCUAACUUUGGUCUAAAAAUGUUCUUGUUUCCAUUUCUGUUUCUUUCUUUGUUUCUUUUUUAAUUUUUAUGUUUUUUUCGAAAAAAUUUCAUUUUUCAAAAAUUGUUCGUAACCUUUAAAAAGUUGUUCCCACUUUUAAAAAACGUUCAUUUUUUUUAAAAUGUUCGUGUUUUCCAAAUUUGUCCAUAAAUUCAAAAAAUGUUCGCAUUUUAAACAAAAUGUUUUGGGAUUUAAAAAUGUUACCUUUUAAAAAAAGGUUUGUCUUUGCAAAUGGCAACCCCUCGCAAUGAAUGUUCGCCAGCUAUUGCAGUCUAAAAGAUGAUGUGUCCAGAUCUGUAGUCUGAAGAGGUGUGAGCGUUUUGUAAAAUAUUGACAAUUUUAAAAACUGUACACGAUUUUGUUUACAAGAUUUUGACAAAUUUGAUGUAUUUUAGUUUUAUUUGAAAUAAACAAAUAUUUUCCUUUUAGGGGAAAGUGAAAACCUGUAAAAGCAUAUAAAAUCACUAGAAACACAUAGCGUCAUUUAGGAGCUCCCUUUGCUGAUCUGUUGCAAUAUAGAUCUUGAGUCAUCUUAUAACUCACUCACUGCAAUGUUAUUGAUGGCAAAACGCACAUGGAAAAAGGAUUUCCUUCUUGAGCCACGUGGCUCAGAUCGCUCCCAAUUUUCUUUCUCUUUUUUUAUCCAGAUUUCCGUCAGUUUAAACCAAAAAAUAGCUCUCUUGCUUAUGUAGUUAAAUUUAAAAAAUAUCAAACAGUGAUAUAAAAGUACAUGAUUUUACAUGAAUAAUUAAACUGUUUGUGAAUUUUCAAAAAUGAUCUUGAAUUAACAAAACGUUCAUAGGUGUAAACAGAUGUUCUUCUUUUAUGAAAAUGCUUAGGAAUUUAUAAAAUUGUGGAAUUUAUAAAAAUACGAAAUUCAAUAAUGUUCUAUAAUCUUCAAAACAUGUUGGUGUUUUUAAAAAACACGUAUUUGAAAAAUAAUUGUAGUUUGAAAAGGAUUAUGUAUUUCAUAAUAUAUUCUUGAAUUUCAAAAUUGUACAUAAUUUUAAUAAAUGUUCAUGAAGUUGAAAUUCAUAAAUAAAAAUAAAAGGUAUAGAGAAAAAUCAGAUGGAAAUCCUAGAAAACCACAAGAACAUGGGGCGUGAUGUGCACUCUACCUAUGCAUUAAUCGAACACUUUUUUGCAAUGAGCGACAACUACAUUUUACAAUGGCUUGCUACACGCAUGAGCUGUUGCUCCCAUGUCCUACUAGAUCGGGAUCGCGCCUUGACGCGAGGGUGCCGGUCCCAAUGUUUUGCCGAAGAACUAUUUUAGUAUAAACCCAGGUAUAGUAUUUGCACUUAUAUAGAAUAAUAAAGCAAAUUUAGAUAGAAGUAAAACAAAAUGAAUCUCAAUACCGACAUGAGAUUAUAAGGCAGGAUCAAACUAAGUGUGUUCAUAAGACCAUAAAAGAUGGCCACUCAACAUAAAAUUCGAUACCAAAAGCGAGAAUACAUAAAAGGUAAUAAGAACAAGAAGAUAAUAAAGGAGAGCCAAUUGUGGAGCCAUAACCACUAAGCAUACGGGAGGAGCUCCAUUGUGUUAGCCACCUCAGUCUUGCGAUGCUUGGCAUCCGGUAGCCACCUCUUUCUUCAGAUUUUGGAGCCUCUUAGAAUAUAUAAAUGGUAUAGGUGCCCUGUCAAGGAAAAAAAAUAGAUAAAUACAGAUUGUGUGUCUUAUUUUUAUUGUGGUGUCAAUCGAGGAAAAAGGAUGAUGCACGACUACAGAACACCAAACUACAAUCCGAUGAUCAACCAACUAUACAAAUCAUAGAGGGAUCUCCUGGGCACUAAGCCCUUAUAAAAGGGUUUCAAGGUAUCCACUUUAUCACCAGCCUACAAAUAAAAUAUAUAAGGUGGGGGCAAGGGAAGGACUAAAAUAAAAAGAAGUACUCGCUUGGUAAUGCAUACUGGAAAGACAUGUUGCUGGUAAGGAUCUCCUCUACUCAGGAAAAAUAAAAAGAUAGGAGGCGCGUGGUGCCUGCCUCAACAUAUUGUCCAUGUGCUUAAACAAAGCAUUUAGUGUUGUCAAAUGGGAAUUAGAACGAUUGCUUGGGAUGAAUCAGCCCUUGCCAAAUGGAAACUAAAAUAAUUGUGCAGGAUAGAUCAACCCAAUACAGUAAGUUUAGAUCAAUAGCAAUACAGAAGGGUGAGACAGCCUGUUAUACCAAAAGCAAGGCAAGCCAGAAGUUCAUGACAAAGGGGAGACAUAUAUUUGGUGGCAAAAGUAAGCCAAAAUGAUGGGUUCUUGUUAAGUAGAUAAAAUAGUUGGGUUAUUAGAUAGCGAAAGCAAGCCAGAGUAGCGAAUAAGAUUCCUAUAUAGUUUUAACAAUCCUAUGUAGUUCUGCUAUAAUUAAAGAACCAGUGAUGCAUCAAUAUAACUAAUAUACAGUAGUUAACAUGAAGAAUGCCGAGCAGUGCCCUUUUACAAAAGGAGAGGACAAUCAGAUGUUCGCAUAACACAUCACAGCAGCUAGUGGUAUGACACAUCGUUUGGAAGUUAUUGGGGCCAAAGCCAACCAUAUAGCUAAGAGAAAAAGCGCCUGCACAUGAAGCAUUGUCACUAACCCUGAAUGAAGGGUUCUACUUUCAAGUGUUUGUGAAGAACAUGGUGUAUAAGUCACAGCCCAGGAUCACCGCGACACUUUAAUCUCAACAUCAAUACACUUCCAAUACCACUAAGGGAAAAUAGAGUUAAAAUUCAUGUGAGAACAAAAUAGAAACAACUGUGGUCAAAAUGCAUAAUCCUUGCUCAAAUCAAAUUGAUAAUCACCAGAUGGUAUAUAUUUUGGCUCCCUCCCAGAUCAAAUUAAUUUACACUUAUGGAGGAUUGUUAUUAACAAAGUAACCGACAAAGAAGUGAUCGCCAGUUGCACUGUCUACUUAUGUCUUUAUGAAUGCAAAUGCAAGUGGAAGCUACCGAGGUUCGGUAAAUAGGGAUUGACCAGUAGCUUUUUUCCGAACUGGAAGGAACAAAGUCUCACUUCUAGCCAAACCGAGUGGAGAGCACAUCCUAUCAUUCUUUUGAUCUCUAGAUUUCAUCCAAUUGAGAUUUUCAUUCCGUCAUUUCAAGGAAAUGGUGUACACCAAUUUAAGAAGUUUAGGAGUAUGUCCUAAAAGAAGUUUCAGGUGUGCAUAUCGUUACAAGCUUGAAAUACUGACAUAAAAGCUUGAAAUAUGAGAUUGUGCAUGUAGAAAUAAAUAAGAAAUUAUAUGUCAAACAAAUUUAUGUUUUCUGCCAUUCCAGAAAUUCUAAUUUCUUAAUGAGCCGACUUGCAUACGUCUCUCUCCGAAGGAAAGACCAUUUCUAAUUACAGAAAAGGGAUAUGUACAAUGGUAGACAUAUGUGUUGGUCGAUAAUACCUCAAAUGGCGCACCACUAAGAUUUUCCAUUACCAGCUUCUUAUGGAUCAGUGAUACAGAGCUCUCUGCUUGUGCCUGGCUUGGCAGCUUCCUCUAGAUCAGCAAUAAAAUUAAUAGAUUAAGAGAGUACCUCAGCAAACUCAAGAUUAAUUUAUACUCCAUAAACUAAUAUAAGUUCAGGGAGGUAGUACCUAAACAGAUCCAUAAAAUCUUUUAUUCUUUCCAGAAAAUGUAGAAUUAUCCAACAUGUAAGGGGUGAACCACCAUCACGACACCAGCAUCUAGAAUAAGUUGAUUUGCAGAAGCAUUGCCACUAAGAAUAAUGCAUAACAAUGAUUUUUUUCCCUACAUAUAAGGGGAGGCCUCAAACUUAAUCCUUUACUUCCAUAGCACAUCAUACAAUGCCCCCUUAAAAGAGUUCUU
rnacentral:lncRNA from 1 species